rnacentral:lncRNA from 1 species
UUUUUUUUUUAAAUGUGUAUAAAUAGUAGGAGCUAAAGUCUAAAUUUAUGCAAUAGUUUGAUUCAUGAUUCAAAACCUUCAUCUUUGAUCAAGGAGCUCAUAAACUAAAUUGAUGAAGGUUGGAAAUUGACUUACCCAGCUGCAAUACACGCCGGAAAUCGAAAUUUUCUGGUUAGAACAAUCGGCAGCGGCUCCUUUGUUCAAAAGCCAAUUCUGUCGAUGCUAACUUGGUCGGAAAUGAAUAGGAUGGUGGCUGGAGAAAUGCUAGAGAUGAGGAGAGGGCCUGUGAUAAGCUGGUGUCGCCAGAAAGUCGAGGAGCAGGAGACUCG